CAUUUAGUUCUACUACUUGGCUUGUGCUUUGGUAGUUUCAUGUUUAAAAUGACAAAAGAAAUAUGAAAAACUUAUGGUCGUCAAGUUGUAGUUACUCUCAUAUGACAGCAGAUGGCAGUGAAAGCCCAAAUUCAUUAGAUUCAACGUUUGAAAUCAAUUUUUAAACGUCUGUCUACCACUUUUUUGUGAUUAGAAUCAUCAGUGGCCGGUCUAAACAUAUUAAAUUUCCAAGAAUGCAAAGUGAGCAUGAAACUAUACCAUUUUCCACCGAAUAAACAGUAUAAUGUGACGCUAUCCCUGCAUUCAGCAGUUGUUGAGCACUAAGUUUUCCACAGGUAACAACAACUACAAAUGCAAUAAAAAUAUUGAAGGAGAUUUUUGUUUGUUUGGUUGUUAUAAUUAGAAAAUGAAAAGACGAGUGUGUUUUUACACAUUUUUUAACUUACAGAUUGGCCAGCAUGGUGAAACAAUAUAUAAGUGGGUUCAACUCAUGUGGUGGUUUCUGACAGGUGGUGGAAAGACACUGUAUGCAGUUUCUCCCUGUGUUUACAAACGUAGGUGAGAAACUUGGGAGAAGCUGCAUGCAGUCUCCCUUCACUAUAAAAUGGAGUCCACCUGGAAGCAACCGCAGGGAGGCUGAAGAGCAGACCAUUUUCUGGUGGGAUUGGUGGCUGGUUGCUAUUCAAGAUGGAGAAGUAGACAUCUCCUUUGAGCAAAUACUUUUGUUUGUGUCAGGGGCGGAUACCAUUCCCCCGCUUGGGUUUUCACCAAACCCAUCAGUUGAAUUUUUUGACCAGGAACCAGGAGAGCAACGCCUGCCAUACUCCCCUACCUGCAGCAUCACCCUUUUCCUUCCAAGAGGAGUGGAGUGUGAGGAGCGAUUUAAAGCCAUGAUGGAAAUCAAGGGCUCACAUGGCUUUGGAAAAGUCUGAUAAAAAAAACCCUGGUGAUAAUAAAAGUUUCAAAGGUUAUCUGUUUUCUGACCUUUCUUAUUGUUCUCUUAGAUGUAUACUGUAAACCAGUUUAAGGCUUUAUAUUAUGGACUGGUUGAACCAUACUAUACAACAUUGCUGUGCACUUAAAGAUGGCCCAUUGUUUGAGAUGCAACAUAUCCUGCUAAGGAGUAAAAUUGAAGCAUGUGUGCAAAUUAAGCAUACUCUACAAUAUAACUGAGGCUGAUCCACAGGUUAUGAGCACCAAAUCAAGAAAAAAACAUCAAGUAUAGAGCAGUGCAGAUUUAUUUUUGCUCACACAGCAACAUGCUUUGUAAGUUUGCAUCAGUCUGAUUUUGGAGCAACACUGUGAUGAUAGACACAGAUCCUUCUUGCAUAGUAAUACAUUAAAUACGUUAAAUGGACUAAAUC